rnacentral:rRNA from 1 species
CGUGGGUAACCUGCCCAAGAGACUGGGAUAACACCUGGAAACAGAUGCUAAUACCGGAUAACAACACUAGACGCAUGUCUAGAGUUUAAAAGAUGGUUCUGCUAUCACUCUUGGAUGGACCUGCGGUGCAUUAGCUAGUUGGUAAGGUAACGGCUUACCAAGGCAAUGAUGCAUAGCCGAGUUGAGAGACUGAUCGGCCACAUUGGGACUGAGACACGGCCCAAACUCCUACGGAAGGCAGCA